AUGUGCGUGCGCUGCUCCAUGGACACCAAGAACAUGUGCUCGGGGGUCUCCUCUCGCUUCCACCGCCGCCCGGGCUUCCUGCAUGGGCACCCUAACCACCUUGACUCCUGGGUACCAGACAUGAAUGAAGAGAAGGCUUCUGGGUGCUGCUGGAUGCCGCCUCAGUGUGGACAUGCUGGGGCUCCCCUGGGGCCUCCCUGGGGACUGUGGAAGGAGGGGGCGAUGGCAGCAGGGGAGGCCCCUCAGGUCCCAGUUUUAAAGGCCCGGACCCCCUUUAUUUCCAGGCACGAGGCACCUUCCCAGUUACCCAGGAUGAGCAAGCUGGAUAUGGCCCCUCUCCUUUUGCCCCACAAGAGCAAGACCAAGACCCCAGACCACGCCCCAGAGCAUGUCCUGGCCCAGAACAGCUCCCCGGUCCACACCCCUGAGCACACUACCACCCACACCCAGACCUGCUCCCUGGCCCAAACGCCUGAGCACACCACCCUCAAGACUCAGACCUGCUCCCUGGCCCACACCCCUGAGCACACCACCACCCACACCCAGACCUGCUCCCCAGCCCACACUCCCCAGCACACUAAGCCCCAGGCCCAGAUCUGCUCCGCAGCCCAUCGCCAUGAGCACACCACCCCCCAGGCCCAGGCCCAGACCUCCUCCCUAGCCCAUGUCCCUGAGCACACCACCCUUCAGGCCCAGACCUGCUCCCCAGCUCACGCCCCUGAGCACAAGCUCCCUCAGGCACAGAUGCACUCCCCAGCCCAAGCCCCCAAGUACAACCCUCUCCAGGCCCAGACCUGUUCCCCAGAGCACACCAGCCCCCAAGCCCAGACCCACUCCCCAGCCCAUGCCACUGAGCACAUCCCCGCCCAGGUCCACGUCCCUGAUCUUACCUCAGUCCAGGCGCAUACCCACUCCCCAAGCUUCACCCCUGAGCACACUCAGCAGCACACUCCUGCCCAGACCCACAGCCCUGAGCACACCUCAGCCCAUCCCCUGGGUCACAGCCCUGAGCAUGUAAUAGCCCAUGCCCCAGCCUGCACUCUGUCCCAUGCUCAUCUAACCUAUACCCAUGCCCCUCACACUCUGGCCCCUGCUCCCACAUCUGCCCCAACCCUUCCUCCAAUGUCUACCCCUGCCAGGAUUCCUGCCCCACCUCCUGCCUCAGCUUUGGUCAUGACCCUGACUACCACUCCUAUCCCAGUUCCCAUCUCUGCCACCACCCAUACCCCCAUCAUAACUCCUAUUCCCUCUACCCUGACUGCCUUUAGCCAAGGCCUCUCCACUGGCCAUGUGGUCUACAAUGUCCGUAGGGGCAAGCAGAACUUGUGCCAUGUGUGCCCUCCCCCAAACUCUGGGUAUUCCAGAAAGGACGGAGGCACCCUCCCCAGGCCCCAAGAGGGGGAGGGUCUGUGUGGCUCUGAUACAGCUGAGCCAACGUCAAAACACCAUAGUGGGGACAGUGCCAAGCCCUCCACAGGCUCCGUACUGGGUUACCUAGAGUUGGGGAAUGUGGAAUGGAAGAUCUCAAAUGAUGCCAAAGACAAGUUCUUACAGCCCAAGACCUUCCCUUAUUUCAGCUUCCAUCCUUGCAGUUCUGAGAGGAGAAACACACACUCUCAGACCCCAGUCUACCCCAAAUUCCUGGUCUCCUCCAAGGAUGCCACACCUUCUCAACCUUGCUUUCAUUCUCCAACCAGUACCCAGAGCUCAUUGAACGCCAUUCCUCCACCUUGCACUUUGUCUCUGCCUCUCUUGUCUCCCAGGUCCUUUGUCUUUCAUCAACCCUCCGGCCACCAGAAGCCCUCCACCUCAAUGCAGACCCCUGCCUUUCCCCCGACCUCCACAUCUUCUCAAACUGUCCCCUCUUCCCAGUUCCCCAUCCCUCCCCAGUUCUCCAAGACUUUCCAACCCCCGAUCCAACCCCAAACCCCUGAACAUCAGGAGAGUCUAGGCCUCAACCAAGAUUCUGGCCUCCAAAGGACUUCAUGCCCUUCAAAGGACUUGAGAGUUGCCAGGAACCCAGGCCUUACCCCAAGUCCAGGCUUCUGUAAGAACCCAGGCCUUGUUCAAGAUCCAGGUCUAAGCAAGCCCUCAGGCCUUACUCAAGACCCUUCCCAAGACUCUGGACUUCACAAGAAUCUGGUCAUUACCCAAGAUUCUGGCCCCCAAAAGAGCCUAGGUCCUACACAAGAUUCAGCUAUCUUUAGGAGCCCGUGUCCUACCCAACCUUCUGGCCUCCACAGGAACAUACCAUUUCCCCAAACUUCUGACAUUCAGAAGAGCUCAGGCUUUAUGCAAAACUCUGGAGUCUAUAGGAAUCUACAACAAAACCAAGAGGCUAUACUCUAUAAAAGUCAAGAUCUCUCCCAAACAAGUGGCCUCCAUAAUAGCCCAGGCCAUUCUCAAGAUUCUGGAGGUUAUAAGAGUACAGGUAAUGUCCAUGAGCUGGAAGUCUCUAGGAGUCUAGGCCUUUCCCAAAAUUCUUGCCCACAGAAGAGCCCAAACCUUGCCCAAGACUGUGGAGUCAACAGGAGCCCAGGUUUGAUUCAAACCUCUGGUCUCCAUAAGGGCUCAGGCCUUACCCAAGACUCAGGAGACUAUAAGAAUUCAGGCCUCCUCCAAGAAUCUGGAGUCCACAGGGGCCUAGACCUUAUUCAAGAGUCUGAUCUCCAUAAGAAUCCAAACUUUGCAUCAGCCACUCAAGUCGAAAGGAGAUGUGGCCAUACACAAGACGUUGGAAUUUACAGGAGCCCAGAAUAUACCCAAGACCCAAACUUCCAUAACUAUCCAGGAAUGAAUCAAGAUCCUGGCCCUCAGAAGGGCUCAGCCCUUACCAAAGACCAUCGCCUCCCCGAGACUCAAGGCCCUAUUGGGGAAUCAGGCCACCACAAGGAUUCAUGCCUCAUCCCGAAUCCCAGCCACCACAGGAACCCAGGCCUUGUUCUAGGUACUGACUCAGUCCAAGUCUUAGGUCAACCUCAGAACCCAAAGUCAACAUUGAGCCUGAUGAAGUCAUUUGUACCUGAGGAAGCCCCUCGGAAGGAGGAUGUGGAACAGCACCUCCCCUGGACUUCUGUCCCCAUUAGUCAGAACUCCAGCUCUACUAAGCCUCAGGUGAUGAUCUACAAUGACCUGCAAACCUUCUCUGAGGUACCUGUGCUGAUAGAGCUACAGCCGUCCUCCCGGCGAGCAGGUAGCCAAGACUGGGUAUACCGUCCUGUGGAUAUAGUUUCCUCAGCCUGCCACAACUAUCGCCAGAUGUCAGUGCCUCCGAAAAUCAGCUGGAAGCCCUACUGCCCUGGGUCAGGCACCCGGGUAGGGCAUGUGGUCUUUGAUGCCCGCCAGAGACAGUUCGGGGUGGGCAGGGACAAGUGUGAAGCUCUGUCUCCCAGGCGCAUGCGCCAAGAGGCAUCCAGCAACUUACCGGAGACCAUCAAGGAGUGGGGGUAUCAGUGUGUGAUGCGGAACUUGGAAAAAGAGGAGACAAAGGUGCAUCCGGAAUAA
rnacentral:lncRNA from 1 species